GACAGAGGGGGCAAGCGUUGCUCGGAAUUACUGGGCGUAAAGAGCUCGUAGGCGGUCUGUCGCGUCCGUUGUGAAAACUCGAGGCUCAACCUCGGGCUUGCAGUGGGUACGGGCAGACUAGAGUGCGGUAGGGGAGAUUGGAAUUCCUGGUGUAGCGGUGGAAUGCGCAGAUAUCAGGAGGAACACCAAUGGCGAAGGCAGAUCUCUGGGCCGUAACUGACGCUGAGGAGCGAAAGCAUGGGGAGCGAACAGG
rnacentral:rRNA from 1 species